rnacentral:rRNA from 1 species
UUGAUCAUGGCUCAGGACGAACGCUGGCGGCGUGCUUAACACAUGCAAGUCGAACGGUGAAGCGCCUUCCUUUUUGGUGGGUGUGGAUGAGUGGCGAACGGGUGAGUAACACGUGAGUAACCUGCCCCCUUCUUCUGGAUAACCGCAUGAAAGUGUGGCUAGUACGGGAUAUUCUGUGCCUGCUGCAUGGUGGGUGUGGGAAAGAUUGCGCUUUUUUGGUGUUUUUGGUGGGGGAUGGGCUCGCGGCCUAUCAGCUUGUUGGUGGGGUGAUGGCCUACCAAGGCGGUGACGGGUAGCCGGCCUGAGAGGGUGGACGGUCACACUGGGACUGAGACACGGCCCAGACUCCUACGGGAGGCAGCAGUGGGGAAUAUUGCACAAUGGGCGCAAGCCUGAUGCAGCGACGCCGCGUGAGGGAUGGAGGCCUUCGGGUUGUGAACCUCUUUCGCCAGUGAAGCAGGCCUGCUCCUUUUUUGUGGGUGGGUUGACGGUAGCUGGAUAAGAAGCGCCGGCUAACUACGUGCCAGCAGCCGCGGUAAUACGUAGGGCGCGAGCGUUGUCCGGAAUUAUUGGGCGUAAAGAGCUCGUAGGCGGCUGGUCGCGUCUGUCGUGAAAUCCUCUGGCUUAACUGGGGGCUUGCGGUGGGUACGGGCCGGCUUGAGUGCGGUAGGGGAGACUGGAACUCCUGGUGUAGCGGUGGAAUGCGCAGAUAUCAGGAAGAACACCGGUGGCGAAGGCGGGUCUCUGGGCCGUUACUGACGCUGAGGAGCGAAAGCGUGGGGAGCGAACAGGAUUAGAUACCCUGGUAGUCCACGCCGUAAACGUUGGGCACUAGGUGUGGGGGGCCUUUUCCGGGUUUUCCGCGCCGUAGCUAACGCAUUAAGUGCCCCGCCUGGGGAGUACGGCCGCAAGGCUAAAACUCAAAGGAAUUGACGGGGGCCCGCACAAGCGGCGGAGCAUGCGGAUUAAUUCGAUGCAACGCGAAGAACCUUACCAAGGCUUGACAUGUGCCGGUCGGCUCCGGAGACGGGGUUUCCUCCUUGUGGGGCCGGUUCACAGGUGGUGCAUGGUUGUCGUCAGCUCGUGUCGUGAGAUGUUGGGUUAAGUCCCGCAACGAGCGCAACCCUUGUCUCGUGUUGCCAGCACGUUGUGGUGGGGACUCGCGGGAGACUGCCGGGGUCAACUCGGAGGAAGGUGGGGAUGACGUCAAAUCAUCAUGCCCCUUAUGUCUUGGGCUUCACGCAUGCUACAAUGGCCGGUACAGAGGGCUGCGAUACCGUGAGGUGGAGCGAAUCCCUUAAAGCCGGUCUCAGUUCGGAUCGGUGUCUGCAACUCGACACCGUGAAGUUGGAGUCGCUAGUAAUCGCAGAUCAGCAACGCUGCGGUGAAUACGUUCUCGGGCCUUGCACACACCGCCCGUCAAG